rnacentral:rRNA from 1 species
UACGGAGGGUGCAAGCGUUAUCCGGAUUCACUGGGUUUAAAAGGGUGCGUAGGUGGGUUGGUAAGUCGAGUGGUGAAAUCUCCGAGCUUAACUUGGGAACUGCCGUUGAUACUAAUCUGUCUUGAAUACCGUGAGGUGAGCGGAAUAUGUCAUGUAGCGGUGAAAUGCUUAGAUAUGACAUAGAACACCGAAUUGCGAAGGCAGCUCGCUACACGAAUAAUUGACUCUGAGGCACGAAAGCGUGGGGAUCAAACAGG